UACGGAGGGUGCAAGCGUUAUCCGGAUUCACUGGGUUUAAAGGGUGCGUAGGCGGGCAGGUAAGUCAGUGGUGAAAUCCUUGAGCUUAACUCGAGAACUGCCAUUGAUACUAUCUGUCUUGAAUAUUGUGGAGGUAAGCGGAAUAUGUCAUGUAGCGGUGAAAUGCUUAGAUAUGACAUAGAACACCUAUUGCGAAGGCAGCUUACUACGCAUAUAUUGACGCUGAGGCACGAAAGCGUGGGGAGUCAAACAGG
rnacentral:rRNA from 1 species